rnacentral:rRNA from 1 species
AGAGUUUGAUCCUGGCUCAGAACGAACGCUGGCGGCGUGCUUAACACAUGCAAGUCGAACGAGAAAGGGUUCUUCGGAACCUGAGUAAAGUGGCGCACGGGUGAGUAACGCGUANAUAACCUGUCCUGGUGUCUGGGAUAACCCUUCGAAAGGGGGACUAAUACCGGAUACGCUGAUUUUUCAUAAGUAGAAUCAGGAAAGAUGGCCUCUGAUUUAAGCUAUCGCAUUUGGAGGGGUCUGCGUACCAUUAGCUUGUUGGNGGGGUAAAAGCCUACCAAGGCAACGAUGGUUAGCGGGUCUGAGAGGAUGAUCCGUCACACUGGCACUGAAACACGGGCCANACUCCUACGGGAGGCAGCAGUGAGGAAUAUUGCGCAAUGGGGGAAACCCUGACGCAACGACNCCGCGUGAGUGAGGAAAGCCUUCGGGUCGUAAAGCUCUGUCAGAAAGGAAGAAGUGCUAGAUGGUUAAUCCUAUUUAGUUGACGGUCCUUNAAGGAACACCGGCUUA